rnacentral:misc_RNA from 1 species
CAAACCCUCAGGCCCUGCCUGGCGUUGGGGCUCUGCGCGCGCAGGCCCUCAAAGACAGCGGCGGGUGCGCCCGGGACCGAACGUAGUCAUUCUUCUCGUUCUGGAACCGCGGCGCGCUCCGGCCGUUAAACCCCCAACAUACAGUU